ACAGUGCAAGUGUUCGAAAGCACAAAGGCAGACAAUGCCGACCCACGCCAGCUGGGAAGUUGCGGUGCCCGGGCGGCGGCGGGGAGCUCGCGUCCAGAAAUCAUAUGGACAUCUCACAUUUUCCUGUAAAAUAAUGAGGGAAAAUGAGAUUUACUCCAAGUGCCUCAUAGUAACCAGCUGGCGUGGAAAGAUACUUCAGUCUGCAGUGUAAUGCAUCCCAGGCACGGCCCAUUGGUAGAGAACCACUUAGCUGCACUUCACUGUUCUUCUGUCCGAACCAAGGCUGUUCACGAGAAUCCCCGUAAUACAAUUGAGGUCCCUCAGGGGCACCAUAUACAUUUAUAAGAUCACCAAAAAACACACUUGUCAUCAAGGCCUGACUGGCGUUUUUUAGUCCACCG